rnacentral:rRNA from 1 species
AGAGUUUGAUCCUGGCUCAGAAUCAACGCUGGCGGCGUGCCUAACACAUGCAAGUCGAACGAGAACGGUUCCUUCGGGAGCUUAGUAAAGUGGCGAACGGGUGAGUAACGCGUGGAUAAUCUGCCCUCAAGUGGGGGAUAACUCGGGGAAACCCGGGCUAAUACCGCAUAAGCCCUACGGGGGAAAAGUAUUUAUAUUGCUUGAGGAGGAGUCCGCGUCCGAUUAGCUGGUUGGUGAGGUAAGAGCUCACCAAGGCGACGAUUGGUAGCCGGUCUGAGAGGACGGACGGCCACACUGGAACUGAGACACGGUCCAGACUCCUACGGGAGGCAGCAGUGGGGAAUUUUGGGCAAUGGGGGAAACCCUGACCCAGCAACGCCGCGUGGAGGAAGAAGGUUUUCGGAUCGUAAACUCCUGUCCGGAGGGACGAAGCAAGUGACGGUACCUCUGGAGGAAGCCCCGGCUAACUCCGUGCCAGCAGCCGCGGUAAUACGGGGGGGGCAAGCGUUGUUCGGAAUUACUGGGCGUAAAGGGCGCGCAGGCGGUUUCGUCAGUCAUGGGUGAAAGCCCCGGGCUCAACCCGGGAAUGGCCUGUGAAACCACGGAACUGGAGUGCUGGAGAGGGAAGCGGAAUUCCCAGUGUAGCGGUGAAAUGCGUAGAUAUUGGGAGGAACAUCGGUGGCGAAGGCGGCUUCCUGGACAGACACUGACGCUGAGGCGCGAAAGCCAGGGGAGCGAACGGGAUUAGAUACCCCGGUAGUCCUGGCUGUAAACGAUGAAUACUUGGUGUAGGGGGUAGGAAAGUCCCUCUGUGCCGUAGAGAACUCGAUAAGUAUUCCGCCUGGGGAGUACGGCCGCAAGGCUGAAACUCAAAGGAAUUGACGGGGGCCCGCACAAGCGGUGGAGCAUGUGGUUUAAUUCGACGCAACGCGAAGAACCUUACCGGGGUUUGAACUCGGCCGGCGACCUCUAGAGAUAGGGGGUUCCUUUCGGGGACAGGUCGAGAGGUGCUGCAUGGCUGUCGUCAGCUCGUGUCGUGAGAUGUUGGGUUAAGUCCCGCAACGAGCGCAACCCUUGUCUGUAGUUGCCAUCAGGUAAAGCUGGGCACUCUACGGAGACUGUCGGCGAAAAGCCGGAGGAAGGUGGGGAUGACGUCAAGUCCUCAUGGCCUUUAUGUCCCGGGCUACACACGUGCUACAAUGGGCGGAACAGAGGGCAGCGAACCUGUGAAGGCAAGCGAAUCCCAGAAAUCCGCUCUCAGUUCGGAUUGCAGUCUGCAACUCGACUGCAUGAAGUUGGAAUCGCUAGUAAUCGCGGAUCAGAACGCCGCGGUGAAUACGUUCCCGGGCCUUGUACACACCGCCCGUCACAUCACGAAAGUGGGCUGUACUAGAAGCCGCCGGCCUAACCUUUUAGGAGGGAGGCGUCGACGGUAUGGCUCAUGAUUGGGGUGAAGUCGUAACAAGGUAGCUGUAGGAGAACCUGCGGCUGGAUCACCCUCCUU